rnacentral:rRNA from 1 species
UACAGGGGGUGCAAACGUUGCUCGGAAUUAUUGGGCGUAAAGGGCGCGUAGGCGGCUUGACAAGUCAAAGGUGAAAUCCCUCGGCUCAACUGAGGAACUGCCUUUGAAACUGUCUGGCUUGAGGCCGGGAGGGGGUAGCGGAAUUCCCAGUGUAGCGGUGAAAUGCGUAGAUAUCAAGAGGAACACCGGUGGCGAAGGCGGCUCUCUGGUCCAUGUCUGACGCUGAGGCGCGAAAGCUAGGGGAGCAAACGGG